rnacentral:rRNA from 1 species
GAUGAACGCUAGCGGGAGGCCUAACACAUGCAAGCCGAGCGGUAUUGUUUCUUCGGCAAUGAGAGAGCGGCGUACGGGUGCGUAACACGUGUGCAACCUGCCUUUAUCUGGGGGAUAGCCUUUCGAAAGGAAGAUUAAUACUCCAUAAUAUAUUGAACGGCAUCGUUUAAUAUUGAAAGCUCCGGCGGAUAGAGAUGGGCACGCGCAAGAUUAGCUAUUUGGUGAGGUAACGGCUCACCAAGGCGAUGAUCUUUAGGGGGCCUGAGAGGGUGAUCCCCCACACUGGUACUGAGACACGGACCAGACUCCUACGGGAGGCAGCAGUGAGGAAUAUUGGUCAAUGGGUGCAAGCCUGAACCAGCCAUCCCGCGUGAAGGACGACUGCCCUAUGGGUUGUAAACUUCUUUUGUAUAGGGAUAAACCUACCCUCGAGAGGGUAGCUGAAGGUACUAUACGAAUAAGCACCGGCUAACUCCGUG